rnacentral:tRNA from 1 species
AAGGUUAAUAGUCAAUUAUGAUAUUAAAUUGCAAAUUUAAAGGAAAAUUUAUUUUUUAGCCU